rnacentral:tRNA from 1 species
AAGAGGUAUAUUAACGGUAGCUGCUAACUAACUUUAAAGCGUUUAAAAUACGUUUGCCUCUUA